rnacentral:tRNA from 1 species
GGCGCUGUAGUGUAGCGGUUAUCACUCGAGAUUCUGAUUCUCGUAACCCAGGUUCGAGUCCUGGCAGUGCCU